rnacentral:rRNA from 1 species
AAGCUCGUAGUUGAAUUUCGGAUUCUUCCAAUUGGUCCAUCUUUUAGAUGAGUACUGGUUGUGUGGGGUCUAUCCGCCUGGUGAUACGUAAUGUCCUUUAUUGGAUGUUGCGGGUAGUCAGGACCUUUACCUUGAAAAAAUUAGAGUGUUAAAGCAGGCUUAUGCCGGAAUACAUUAGCAUGGAAUAAUAGAAUAGGACGAAGUUGUUUUAUUUUGUUGGUUUCUAGGACAACCGUAAUGAUUAAUAGGGAUAGUUGGG